UUAGAGGAAAAGAAACCAACAGGGAUUGCCCCAGUAACGGCGAGUGAAGCGGCAACAGCUCAAAUUUGAAAUCUGGCCUCGGCCCGAGUUGUAAUUUGCAGAGGAUGUUUCUGGCGCGGUGCCUUCUGAGUUCCCUGGAACGGGACGCCAUAGAGGGUGAGAGCCCCGUACGGUUGGACGCCUAGCCUGUGUGAAACUCCUUCGACGAGUCGAGUAGUUUGGGAAUGCUGCUCAAAAUGGGAGGUAUAUCUCUUCUAAAGCUAAAUACCGGCCAGAGACCGAUAGCGCACAAGUAGAGUGAUCGAAAGAUGAAAAGCACCUUGAAAAGGGGGUUAAACAGCACGUGAAAUUGUUGAAAGGGAAGCGCCCAUGACCAGACUUGUGCCCGGCGGAUCACCCAGCGUUCUCGCUGGGGCACUCCGCCGGGCCCAGGCCAGCAUCGGUUUUCGCCGGGGGACAAAGGCUCUGGGAACGUAGCUCCUCCGGGAGUGUUAUAGCCCUCUGCGUAAUACCCUGGCGGGGACCGAGGUACGCGCUCCGCAAGGAUGCUGGCGUAAUGGUCAUCAGCGACCCGCU
rnacentral:rRNA from 1 species